rnacentral:lncRNA from 1 species
UAAUAAAUUAUUAUUUAAAUAAAAAAUAAAUAAAUAAAUAAAUAAAAAAAAUAAAAAAAAUAAAAAAAAAUAAAAAAAAUAAAAAAAAAUAAAAAAUAAAACUUUUUUUUAUGUUUUCGAAUUAUACCUUUUCAAAUUCGAACUUUUUUAUAAUUGUUUUUUUUGAAACUUUUUUUUCAAAUUUCUUUUUGAAAAAUGAAAAUUAUAUUUGAAACUAUUUUUCAUAAAUUUUUAUAUAUUUUAUAAGUAUUUACUUAUAUAUUUAUUAGAAUCCUAGAUUUCACAUUCCAAAAACCCUACCC